rnacentral:tRNA from 1 species
GCCUUUGUAGCGGAAUGGUAACGCGGCAGACUCAAAAUCUGCUUUGGUAACCCAGGUGGUAGUUCGACUCUCCCCAAAGGCACCA